rnacentral:lncRNA from 10 species
UGUCACAAAGGGUGUACAAAAUGUCACAGGGUGGGUAUGGCUUAUGAUAUCAUUCCCAAUAUCCAGAAGGAUGUUACUCCUGCGGUCACAGGGGGUGUACACCCUUCGAUAAUAUUUGUAGUCUUAUAGGGAGAUAUUACUGUAAAUCUCACAGUGGGUGUACACUAUGUACACUGUGUUUACACUCACUGUGAUAUUAUUUGUAAUAUCUCAGAGAUAUUACAGAGUUAUAACUCUCUCUGUUAUAUUAGAGAGUUAUAUCUCUCUAAGACAGUACAAAUAAUACCACAGUGGGUGUACCUCAUGUGUGUACACCCUGUGAUAUUAUUUGUAAUAUCCAUGGUAAACAUGACAUCUAAUAGCACAGAGUGUGUACUCCCUUUGGUAUUUCUCAUACUUUCAUAGGGAGAUAUUGCUUCUAAUAUCACAGUAGGUGUACACCAUGCACGUACAUUCUGUGAUAUGAUACCUUCUAUCCUAGGGAGAUAUCUCUCCGAAUAUCACAGUGUGUGUACACCUUGUGAUAUUAUCCAUAAUGUCCUAGAAGGAUGUCACUCCUAAUAUGACAGAGGGCGUACACCCAGUGGUAUUCUUCGUAAUAUCCUAGGGAGAUGUUACUCCUAAUGUCACACGGGGUGUACACCCAUGAUAUUCUUCGUAAUAUUCUAGG